GCCGCAGUGGCGGAAUUGGUAGACGCGCUGGUCUUAGGAACCAGUACUGCAAAGUGUGAAGGUUCGAGUCCUUUCUGCGGCAC
rnacentral:tRNA from 1 species